rnacentral:rRNA from 1 species
GAUCCUGGCUCAGGAUGAACGCUAGCUACAGGCUUAACACAUGCAAGUCGAGGGGAAACGACAUCGAAAGCUUGCUUUUGGUGGGCGUCGACCGGCGCACGGGUGAGUAACGCGUAUCCAACCUGCCCACCACUUGGGGAUAACCUUGCGAAAGUAAGACUAAUACCCAAUGACGUCUCUAGAAGACAUCUGAAAGAGAUUAAAGAUUUAUCGGUGAUGGAUGGGGAUGCGUCUGAUUAGCUUGUUGGCGGGGUAACGGCCCACCAAGGCGACGAUCAGUAGGGGUUCUGAGAGGAAGGUCCCCCACAUUGGAACUGAGACACGGUCCAAACUCCUACGGGAGGCAGCAGUGAGGAAUAUUGGUCAAUGGGCGAGAGCCUGAACCAGCCAAGUAGCGUGCAGGAUGACGGCCCUAUGGGUUGUAAACUGCUUUUAUAAGGGAAUAAAGUUAGUCUCGUGAGACUUUUUGCAUGUACCUUAUGAAUAAGGACCGGCUAAUUCCGUG